rnacentral:rRNA from 1 species
UGUAAGCGUAUACCAAAGUUGUUGCAGUUAAAACGCUCGUAGUCGGAAUUUGGCAGUUCCGGAUGUGUGCACGUCGUGUGCGCACUUCGCGGGGAUUGCUUUUGUGGUCUUGCGUAGGAUGAGGCACUUUUAUUAGUGAACGUCCUCACGCAACCACUUUUUACUGUGAGAAAAUCAGAGUGCUCAAAGCAGGCAUUUGCCGUGAAUGUAUUAGCAUGGAAUAAUAGAAUAGGACUUGGUUCUAUUUUGUUGGUUUGUUGGGACUGAGUAAUGAUUAAGAGGGACAGUUGGGGGCAUUUAUAUUUCGGUGCUAGAGGUGAAAUUCUUAGAUUACCGAAAGACAAACUGCUGCGAAAGCGUCUGCCAAGGAUGUUUUCAUUGA